ACACGACCUCUCGCCACACCCCCACGACCUCAUGCCUCGCGUCGUUCCUCCCGCACGACCUCGCGUCUCUGCGCCGUUCCUCCCACAGCCGGGCGCGGGCCGUAGGUCGCCGAGCCGCCGCCGGAGCCGCCCUUCGCCGCGGCCCGCAGGUCCCCCAGCCGCCGCCCCGGAGCCGCCCUUCGCCGCAGGGGUUGGUGUCGCACUCACCACGGAGAAGAUCGCCCAAGUACUUUAUACACAUACGCUGUAAACCAUCACCGUGCUGCGCCAAGAAGUGCCGCUGCCGCUUGGGUUCGCUAGCCGUCGCGUGGAGUCGCCCUGGUCGCCGUCUCGACUCACCUCCAUCACCACCACGAGUCAUCUUUGCCGCAGCCACCAGGAAUCCUGUCACCGGCAAGGGUGUGAGUCCAGUGACACACAACAUUCAAUUAUGAGGAUCAAGGAAAUUAUGAUCAUUCAGUCAUUGAUGAUAUGAAAAGAGGCAUG